AGUGAACGCUGGCGGUAGGCCUAACACAUGCAAGUCGAAUGGCAGCACAGUAAGAGCUUGCUCUUACGGGUGGCGAGUGGCGGACGGGUGAGGAAUACAUCGGAAUCUACUUUUUCGUGGGGGAUAACGUAGGGAAACUUACGCUAAUACCGCAUACGACCUACGGGUGAAAGCAGGGGAUCUUCGGACCUUGCGCGAUUGAAUGAGCCGAUGUCGGAUUAGCUAGUUGGCGGGGUAAAGGCCCACCAAGGCGACGAUCCGUAGCUGGUCUGAGAGGAUGAUCAGCCAACCUUGAACUGAGACACGGUCCAGACUCCUACGGGAGGCAGCAGUGGGGAAUAUUGGACAAUGGGCGCAAGCCUGAUCCAGCCAUACCGCGUGGGUGAAGAAGGCCUUCGGGUUGUAAAGCCCUUUUGUUGGGAAAGAAAAGCAGCAGGUUAAUACCCCGCUGUUCUGACGGUACCCAAAGAAUAAGCACCGGCUAACUUCGU
rnacentral:rRNA from 1 species